UCUGGGUCGUAAACUGCUUUUAUUCGGGAAUAAACCUUAUUACGUGUAAUAAGCUGAAUGUACCGAAGGAAUAAGGAUCGGCUAACUCCGUGCCAGCAGCCGCGGUAAUACGGAGGAUCCAAGCGUUAUCCGGAUUUAUUGGGUUUAAAGGGUGCGUAGGCGGCUUAUUAAGUCAGGGGUGAAAGACGGUGGCUCAACCAUCGCAGUGCCCUUGAUACUGAUGAGCUUGAAUACACUAGAGGUAGGCGGAAUGUGACAAGUAGCGGUGAAAUGCAUAGAUAUGUCACAGAACACCGAUUGCGAAGGCAGCUUACUAUGGUGUGAUUGACGCUGAGGCACGAAAGCGUGGGGAUCAAACAGGAUUAGAUACCCUGGUAGUCCACGCCCUAAACGAUGAAUACUCGCUGUUAGCGAUAUACAGUUAGCGGCUAACCGAAAGCGUUAAGUAUUUCCACCUGGGGAGUACGCCCGCAAGGGUGAAACUCAAAGG
rnacentral:rRNA from 1 species